CAGCAGUGGGGAAUUUUGGACAAUGGGCGCAAGCCUGAUCCAGCCAUGCCGCGUGAGUGAAGAAGGCCUUCGGGUUGUAAAGCUCUUUCAGACGGAAAGAAAUCGGUGCGUUUAAUACAUGCACUGGAUGACGGUACCGUAAGAAGAAGCACCGGCUAACUACGUGCCAGCAGCCGCGGUAAUACGUAGGGUGCGAGCGUUAAUCGGAAUUACUGGGCGUAAAGCGUGCGCAGGCGGUUAUGUAAGACAGAUGUGAAAUCCCCGGGCUCAACCUGGGAACUGCGUUUGUGACUGCAUAACUAGAGUACGGCAGAGGGAGGUGGAAUUCCACGUGUAGCAGUGAAAUGCGUAGAGAUGUGGAGGAACACCGAUGGCGAAGGCAGCCUCCUGGGCCAGUACUGACGCUCAUGCACGAAAGCGUGGGGAGCAAACAGGAUUAGAUACCCUGGUAGUCCACGCCCUAAACGAUGUCAACUAGUUGUUCGGUGAGGAGACUCAUUGAGUAACGCAGCUA
rnacentral:rRNA from 1 species